UACGAAGGGGGCUAGCGUUGCUCGGAAUCACUGGGCGUAAAGCGCACGUAGGCGGAUUGCUAAGUCAGGGGUGAAAUCCUGGAGCUCAACUCCAGAACUGCCUUUGAUACUGGCGACCUUGAGUCCGGGAGAGGUGAGUGGAACUGCGAGUGUAGAGGUGAAAUUCGUAGAUAUUCGCAAGAACACCAGUGGCGAAGGCAGCUCGCUGGGACGGUACUGACGCUGAGACGCGAAAGCGUGGGGAGCAAACAGG
rnacentral:rRNA from 1 species